rnacentral:rRNA from 1 species
CACCGCGGUUAUACGAGAGGCCCAAGCUGACAGUCACCGGCGUAAAGAGUGGUUAAUUACCCCCAAAACUAAAGCCAAACGUCUUCAAAGUUGUAUAACACAUCCGAAGAUAUGAAGUCCAACCACGAAAGUGGCUUUACACUCUUUGAACCCACGAAAGCUAGGGAA